rnacentral:rRNA from 1 species
UACGAAGGGGGCGAGCGUUGUUCGGAAUUACUGGGCGUAAAGCGUGCGUAGGCUGCUAUGCAAGUCAGGAGUGAAAUCCCCGGGCUCAACUCGGGAAUUGCUCUUGAAACUGCAUAGCUUGAAUUCGGGAGAGGAUAGCGGAAUAUCCAGUGUAGAGGUGAAAUUCGUAGAUAUUGGAUGGAACACCAGUGGCGAAGGCGGCUAUCUGGCCCGACAUUGACGCUGAGGCACGAAAGCGUGGGGAGCAAAC